UAAUUCCAGCACUUAGGGAGGCUGAGGCACGCGGAUCACGAGGGGGGAAUCUGGAAUAUUUCAAGAUAAGGUCCAAUUCUUCCAUUGUCUCGUAAUCCAAUGCAGAGAUGUGAAAUGUAAGAUCAUCUGAAGGAGAGCUUUGGUUCAAGUCAAAUGCAUGCCUCAACCUAGCAGAGCCAAAGAGAUACUUGUAUGAUGACAUGACUUUUGCCUUCUGCCAUGAUUGUGAGACCUCCCCAGCCACAUGAAACUAAUAUAAGACUUCACAACCUGCUGAAAAUGAGCUUUCCUAAUAACUCGGGACCUACCUGUCUAGGAAUAAACCAUCCUAAACAUGAAAGAUCAGAGAAAAUAGAAACACAAUAUAAUUUGGCUCCGCACCUGAGAUGCUCUCCAGCCAUGAUGGUAGAGUUCCUCAUUCUAGGGAUUAUGGACCCAGGCCAAGCCUGCUCCUUGAUA
rnacentral:lncRNA from 1 species